GUUGAACAAAACAGGCCCUCAACGUCAGUAUCAUUAAGGUCUCUUUGUUUCAGCUUUCAUGGUGAACGCAAAUUCCCCCAAUGGCUAGCCUAAUCAAUAAGCUUUCCCAGAAAACGACUCCAUCUCUAAGAAUCGUAGCAACGGCCAUUAAAAAUCCGCCGCUCUUCACUCACGUCCUUCAUACUACCAAACCAAAUUUCAUAAACAACUCAAUUCCUCUCUGGGACUCCACAGCCACAGAGAACAACCCAACAACUCAAAACCCUACUAAACCCCUGCUGUUUUGUUAUCCCAAUUUCCCAUUUGGGUAUUCCUUAAACCCCAUUGCCAUAACUGGGGCUAAUCAAUUGAAGGCUGUUGGGUCUGAUUUUGCUGAAAAAGAUACCGAUGAUGCGAGGACCGUGUGGGCUGAUAGCGUGAAGAAGAAGAGGAAGAAGAAAAUGAACAAGCACAAGUACAAGAAGCUGAGGAAGCGGCUUAGAAGACAGACUUAGAGUUGUUUGUUUUUUAAUUGUUUCU
rnacentral:misc_RNA from 1 species